CCUCAGAAGCUAUCGAGUGAUAUGACAAAGAGUUGCGAUGGCAUCUAAAACACAACGCCUGAAUUUUCCGGGCUAGGAAGUUGAAGAAUUUUGACUUAUGGUGUUGUUGACUCAAAAUUCAAAUGCACUCUUUUAGGGGUCAUCUGAAUUUUUACCUACGUGGUCAAAGAGGGUAUAAGUUAAAAAGUGAAUAAACUAAUUCUAAUUCAUGGAAAAAAAGAGGGGGAUGAGUUAGUUUAUGGUCUUUAAAUUAGUCAUUAUACAGCUGCGAACUUUGAGUUUCCGAAAAAAAGGACUGCAAUUUGUGCAGGUUUCUGAAGUUUUCUUUGCAGGUAAAAAAGAAGUUAUUCGGUCAAGAUCAGUGAUGAUUAUUUAAACAAAAUAGUUUGAGUCAUAGUCAACGCAGGUAAUUUAAUUUGAAGAAUUCUGUUCAACAUAUUUGCAAUGUUUCAGUUGAUAUAACGCAUAGAAUCAAUUUGAAAAAAUUUCUUACUUCCAGCAUUACCAUAACUUCGGGUUUCCUAUUUAAACAAAAGUUUCCUGUGAUUGAACACGUUGCACAGAAUGUUACGACAGAACUAGAUGACGCAAAAGGAUGGCUGCUAAUAGUAUUCUUCAUAAAUAAAUGAAAAGCACCUGAAGGUCAAUUUACGAUGUAAAAAAAAACAUUCGUUGUCAAAAAGCGAUAUACGACCGGAAAAAUUAGGCAAGAAAAACAUAUUUUUGAAGGCAUUUCUUGGCAAUUUGUUUGAAUCUCGUUAAAAGCGAUCGUUAAUUUCACUUGCGAAGCAAACUGUAUUAGUACGAACUUUCUUUUCCAACCUCAGUCGCAGAGGAAAUUUUUUGGUGGCACUUUUGAAUCGGUAUUCUGCGCUAGCAAUAUGAUGUCAUAUUUGCUUUGACAUUUACUUAGUAAAAAUUUAACACAGUUGAUGCGUUUUUAAUUCAUCAAAUGAACUUGAAAAAGUUAUUUGUUUCAAACAGCAGAACACUGAGAAAAAGCUCGGUUUCAGAAAUUUUCCAAUGCAAUGUAUCUUGCAAUUUCUUUGAAAUGCAUAAUUUACACAUAAUUUGGCUUGAUGCUUUCCAAUUUAUUACAUGCAAAAUUGUGUCUUCUUGUAUUUGAAGCUACUUUUUCUUUAUCGAAUUGGCAAUUUUUUUUAGCAUAUGUAAUUGCUUUAUUGGUGGCUAUUUUUUUUGGGGAUUUUAGGCAGUGGUUAGUGCGUGAGACUCAAUUUUGCUAGGUUGCAGAUUCGAAUCUACUUUGCUAAGUAGCCGAGUUUUUGCUUAUUCGAGACCUAUUUCUACUUUUUGGUCGUGGUUUUGCUAGUGUUUGCAUAGCACAGCUUCGCCUUUGUGUCUCAAUCUGAAAACUGACCGUAACUUGUUUUUCUUGGUUUCAUUCAUCAAGGUGAGUAAUAACUGACACAUUUCAUAGUGUUUUUUUUUGUGUAGGAUUUCAAUCGAAUUUGCUCUCAAUUAUUUUUCAGCAUUCUUCUAUCGAGAAGCCAAGUGUUGCAGAGUAGAAAAACUAGUGAAUAAAGUAGAAUUAUGUCGGUCCAACUAACAAUUGUUUGUCUAUUUUUUUCAGUCAAUGAACUACAAUUAGAUUUUUUUGAAAAUGAUUUAUCUAUUAAAACAUUUAAAUUUACAUGAAUUUAGGAGGCGCAGCGAUCGAUAAGAUAAGCAUGGUUGCGACUAACAAGCGUUAUCAAAUCUGAAUAAAUAGACUUUUUUCAGGUUAACAACUUGUUUAACAAAAUCACCUGAAUCAUUUGAUAGCUUGAUCAGAAGAAUUUCAAUUUCUUUCGCUUUUCCCGCAAACUUGAUAUUGAGGCAACUUUGCCUGGAACAGCAGAAGUCUUACGUUGGGUUCAAGCUUGUACCUGUUUUUUUUUUCAAACUGAAAAUCUACUAAUUUAAAAAAGAACAUAGGCCUAUUGACGAUCUAUUGUCAAUCUAUUUAUGGUUUGUCGCCUUUGUUGCCACAUGAAUUAUUUCUCUUCCUUGUAAUUGAUUGUGUUUUUGAUUUAAUCCUGUAAUUUAUAAAUUUACUAAGCCCUGUUUUGUAUAAUACCAUGUUUUUUUUCAUGUUUUUCAAGUUUUUACAAAAAGUUGUGUAUAUUUUUUCAAAUCAACUUUUAACUGUGUGCAUUUUGAUGAUCUUUUCACGCCCUUUUUCAAAACAAUUGCUAAUUCAGUUUUCAGAAUACUAUAAUUCUCGUGGUUUUUGUGGAUUAUUUUCAUUAAUUUUCCUGAGUCUCUUAAAAUGUGUUUUCUUUUUAACAUUUCAUAACUAAGAUAUCGUCGCCCUUCGUGUUUCCACUUUUCUGCUGUAUGUAAAAAGUUAAUAACGGAUGUUACUAGCCCUUUCAAAUUUAUAAUAACCUAUGUGAAAUUUUCGCUAUUUUCAAAAAUCACCUGCCAGCGCAAAAUUCCUUGUAACUGAAAACUUUUUUUUGAAAGCAUUUUUUCUAGUCAGAUUAGUCUUUGCUAAUUGUACAAAAUCGCUCUUGGCGAGUUUUUCGUUUUCAAGUUAGAUCAAUUCCAUUUAUUUUUGUUUCGCAAGCUUGGCAAAGCUCCGGUUCGCCUCUGUAUUGAAAGCUUGCUGUGGAAAGCAUCUUUUGAAUAAAAAAAUCUGCUCCCAAAGUAGGGUACAGUUACAAGUUUUCUAAAAGACCCAAUGGAAACCCGUUCCGUCUGUGUUGGAUUUUUUUCUUUAGUUUUUGCUUGUUAUGCUUAUUUUGCUUCACAGGAACAGGAAUAAUAUAGUUUCGCAGAACUGAUUUGGCUGACUGUUAGGCUCAAUCAAUAGGAAGAUUAAUUUUUCUGCAAAUUAACUUGUAAGUAACGCUUAUAUUGGUCAAAAUUCAAUAUUUAACUGAUUUUCUUUUAUAUAAAACGCUGCUGUGUUCAAACCAAAUUGUUUAGACAACUUCUUAUGCGGCGAAAAAGAAAGAGAGAAACAACGCCCGCAACAGUCACAUUUUCUGCGAGUAAGAAGGGGCGUCAAAAUUCAGACUUAGAACGGAGAGAAAACAGAAUAAAGUUGGCUAGUAUCAGGAAAGUUGCAAUGCGAAACACUCAAUUACAAGAUGAGGAAGGCUUGGUAAAAUUGAGAUAGCAUUCUUCAUGAUCGCUCAAAUAUAAUUUUGCUGACAGGCUUGUAGAAUGCCAAAAUUUUGUGACCCAGACUACCUGCACAAGAAACGAAAAUACCAGGAUUGUUUAGAAAACUACUACUCAGAGUCAAGAUUCCUUUUAUGAAAUCAGCGGCAGAACAAAGAUUUAAACUCAAAACGAAAGAAAUUAUAACUAUUGAUGAUUUUAAUUAUUUUCUAAAAUGAAAAAAUUAUACUCAAGCUUGCUGAACUGUUUCAUGCUAUGCUUUGAAUUGAAUCGAUUAUUCGGAUAA